AUCGCUGCCAAAGGUGCUUCAACAAAGUACUGAGUAAAGGUUCUGAAUAUGUUAAUGUAAAUGUGAUAUUUAAUCUUUAAAUUUUUUAUAUGUUUGCUAAAAUUUCAAAAAACAUGUUUUUUCUUUGUCAUUAUGGGGUAUUGUGUGUAGAUUGAUGAGAAUUAGGCUGUAACGUAACAUAAUGUGGAAAAAGUAAAGGGGUCUGAAUACUUUCCAAAUGCACUGUAUAUCAGAGUUCUGCCAUCUUCAUGCACAUUUGCCAUUGGGGAGUUUUGUCUUCCUGAUAGGAUUCAGUCUAGUGAUGGCCUUGGCCUACAAAGCAAUGAAAAGAAGAGGCCACUGCAACACUACUAAAGAAAUGAAAAAGACUUGCAAUCUGCCAGCACAUAAACUGCCAUCAUCGGAAGUUGAAUGCCAUUAUGCCCUGUGUGACUCCUGCUCAUCUAUCGUUGGUUAAGUUGUGAACACAGCGCAGGCUUUAUGUAACCCCUCAUUUUCCAUCGGGUGGGGAGACCAACUGCAGUAAGUUAUUGUUACUGAGUGAGAAAUUCAAUCUCCAAGGACAAGGACACAAUUCUUGGUGGCUUCCCUGACCAUACAAUCGGUGGAUAUGGAACGAGUAGAUUCCCCUCUGUUCUGAAGGCGGUACAUUGUGGGCAUCAACUUCAGAUGGCUAGAUAAAGAUUAUGUAAGCUUUUUAAAAUCUUGGUGUCUUAUUUGCUCUUGAAAAUUGCAGGCUCCUUUGAUGCCGGCCCUAAACAGAUAGAGGAUUCUGUGAAAACAGCACACAGGAUGCAGAACCGUAACAACCCAUAUGCCGAAGACACAACUUAUAAUCAUCAUCUUUAACAACAACAUCACAAGCAAGAGCUGACGCAAUAGAACAACACGAAGGGAAACUGUCUUGACAGAAGAAAAUGUAUCUUAAUACACUUAUAUACCAAAAACUAGAGGUUUGCUGCAGAUGUUCCGGUGAACAGGUUCUAUCCUGGGACAUAUACCGUGAUGUAACUCCUCAAAACUGAAAUAUCCGCUGUGAAGUACACUUCCUAAGCACGUUUUAAGUUAGUCAUGAAAGGCAUUCCACUUCCCCAAGGAUGUUUCUAUGAUGGAAUUAUGUAUGUUUUUCAUUUUUGAAUAUUUCGAAUUUCUAUUGACAGUAUGAACUCAAUUUUCUUGUGUCAAAGUAAUGUUGAUAGACUACUCAUUUUGAAUGGCACAUCUUUAUUGAAACACAAAGCAGCUGAAAAUUACUUUGACAGACAUUUGCUGAUGAUACACGUCAAGAGAUGUGUUUAGGAUCCUCUCUUCCUGAAGUAAAGUUGUAUACCUCAGACGUCUCUUUAAUUAAAGUUCACUGCUGCUUUUCAA
rnacentral:lncRNA from 1 species